CCGUGAGAUCAUGACCUGAGCCGAAGUCAGACACUCAACCGACUGAGCCACCCAGGUGACAGGCCCGGUCUGGAUGAACAGGGCCCGCCUCCGGGACCGCAAGUGCCUGCCCAUGGAGCUUCUAAGGAGGAUCCUGUCACCCUAGUGGACCACACCUCUGACCUCCAGAGACACAGAUGCCUGCCUGAAAGCCAACUUAAUCGUUCAUAACGCUAAGCAGGAUUGCCGUGUAGACCAGAUGUACAAACGUCAUGGCAGCCAUUCUCUUUCUGAAGUCAAGAUGCGAGAGUAUCCGGGAAGCAUCUGGAGCCAUCCGUUUCCAAGGAGAGAGCACCAGGGCGGACCAGCGCUUUUUAAGGUUUGGUUUCUUAACAGCAGUAAAGGGAGUUUUAAUCAACCCCAAAUUGGCUUCGGGUCAACAAGGACAGAAUUCAGUUUGCCAGAAGCACUGCUCAAUGACUCAAGACCCCGAAAGCAUGUGUUUGUGUCGCCCGGACAUUCAGAGCCUGGGAUAAAGAUGGCGACCUCUAAAUUCCAAGUUCCAAUCAAGUGCUGAUCAUCAAUACUGAGAACUCCUCAGGCAAAUUCACCUUGAGGUACACAGGGAAGUGGAUCUUACACCCGAGGACCAGAAUCCCCUGGAGGGCUUAUUAAAACACAGAUGGUCGGGCUACCAUCCCCAGAAUUUCUGAUUCACUAGGGCGAGGGUGAGGCCCCAGAAUUUGCAUUGCCAGCAAGUUUCCAGCUGAUGUUAAGCCUGGUGGCCCAGAACAACACCUUGGAGGAUCACCGAUUUAAGUUAAUGAAGACAGCACCAAAGAUAUGGUGCGAUUACUUACCCCAGGGAAAAUUGCAUCCUUCAUCUGGAGGAUGAUGCUAUAUUUCCAGCUUUAGGUUUUGCUUGCCUGUCUCCUUUUUUCCACCAUGGACCUGCUAUUUUGGCUGUAUUAUUGGUAGUAUCCCAUUGGUGGGGUGGGGGCUGUAAAAAAACAGAAAGGUGAACUCCAACUGCUUGAAGAAGUUAUUAAAUAGAUUUGUGUUCAGCAAACACGAGUUACUAGCUCACAAAGGUGAGGUCCAGGUGUUGAGUGGCCUUCGGUGUUGCUUGAUCAGUGGCCCAAUCAUGUUUUCAAGGAACCACAUACUUGACUUCCGUGUCUCUGCUCUGUAAGCCACAGUUUGGGUCUCAUCCUAAGACUGGUUCCCUCUGUGACUUUAGGAUGGCUGGCGCAACGAUGAAGCUUACGGGUGACCGUUGGGAGAGCAAGUGACUUCCCUGGGGCUCUUUUCAGAACAAAGAACAGUCUUCCAGAAGUUUCCAGCAGGUCUCUCCUUCUGUCUUCUUGCCCAGAAUUAGGGCAUAUGCUCAUUCCAGAACCAGUCACCGGCAUGGUAGACGGAUUUACCUUUUGCCUAAUCAGACCGCUUCCUAGAACUGGCGAUGGCAUCGGAUUCUCCUGAGACCCAUGGUUUGCAUGACUGUUGACGUACUUAGAACUGGUAUUUUCUUGGGAAGAAAGAAAGGAGAACGGGUACCGGCCAGCAAUUAACAGUGUUCAUUAUACUUUCUAAGCCCUUCUGAGAAUAGAUAUUUUUAGAAAACUAGAAAGCCAACUGAAAAAAACUAUUUUGUGUUUUUUCAAGGCAUGAAAGUUUUUCAGGGAAAGAUUUUUCCAGAAGUCGUUGGCCAAUGGGAAAAGCAGAGGCAGCGUGGCGGGGCUAGAUUUGAACCUCAGAAUCU